UACGUAGGGCGCAAGCGUUGUCCGGAAUUAUUGGGCGUAAAGAGCUCGUAGGCGGCUUGUCACGUCGGGUGUGAAAGACCGGGGCUUAACCCCGGUUCUGCAUUCGAUACGGGCUAGCUAGAGUGUGGUAGGGGAGAUCGGAAUUCCUGGUGUAGCGGUGGAAUGCGCAGAUAUCAGGAGGAACACCAAUGGCGAAGGCAGGUCUCUGGGCCAAUACUGACGCUGAGGAGCGAAAGCGUGGGGAGCGAACAGG
rnacentral:rRNA from 1 species